AUUGAACGCUGGCGGCAGGCCUAACACAUGCAAGUCGAACGAGUGGCGGACGGGUGAGUAAUGUCUGGGAAACUGCCCGAUGGAGGGGGAUAACUACUGGAAACGGUAGCUAAUACCGCAUACCAUCGGAUGUGCCCAGAUGGGAUUAGCUAGUAGGUGGGGUAACGGCUCACCUGGGCGACGAUCCCUAGCUGGUCUGAGCGGAUGACCGGCCACACUGGAACUGAGACACGGCCCAGAUUCCUAGGGGAGGAAGCAGAGGGGAAUAUUGCACAAUGGGCGCAGGCCUGAUGCAGCCAGGCCGCGUGUAUGAAGAGGGCCUUCGGGUUGUAAAGUACUUUCAGCGAGGAGGCGUUACUCGCAGAGGAAGCACCGGCUAACUCCGUGCCAGCAGCCGCGGUAAUAC
rnacentral:rRNA from 1 species